rnacentral:rRNA from 1 species
AAGUCGUAACAAGGUUUCCGUAGGUGAACCUGCGGAAGGAUCAUUACAGUAGUCACCCGGGUUGCCGCAAGGCCUCCCGGGUAACCUACCACCCUUUGUUUAUUACACUUUGUUGCUUUGGCAGGCCUGCCCUCGGGCUGCUGGCUCCGGCCGGCGAGCGUCUGCCAGAGGACCUAAACUCUGUUUGUCUAUACUGUCUGAGUACUAUAUAAUAGUUAAAACUUUCAACAACGGAUCUCUUGGUUCUGGCAUCGAUGAAGAACGCAGCGAAAUGCGAUAAGUAAUGUGAAUUGCAGAAUUCAGUGAAUCAUCGAAUCUUUGAACGCACAUUGCGCCCCCUGGUAUUCCGGGGGGCAUGCCUGUCCGAGCGUCAUUACAACCCUCAAGCUCAGCUUGGUGUUGGGCCCCGCCGCCCCGGCGGGCCCUAAAGUCAGUGGCGGUGCCGUCCGGCUCCGAGCGUAGUAAUUCUUCUCGCUCUGGAGGCCCGGUCGUGUGCUCGCCAGCAACCCCCAAUUUUUUUCAGGUUGACCUCGGAUCAGGUAGGGAUACCCGCUGAACUUAA